GAUGAAGAACGGAGCGAAAUGCGAUAAGUAAUGUGAAUUGCAGAAUUCAGUGAAUCAUCGAAUCUUUGAACGCACAUUGCGCCCCUUGGUAUUCCGGGGGGCAUGCCUGUUCGAGCGUCAUUAUAACCCCUCAAGCUCAGCUUGGUGUUGGGGCCUGCCGACUGGCAGCCCUUAAAAUCAGUGGCGGCGCCAUCUGGCUCUAAGCGUAGUAAUUUCUCUCGCUAUAGAGUCCCGGUGGAUGCUUGCCAGCAACCCCCAACUUUCUAUGGUUGACCUCGGAUCAGGUAGGGAUACCCGCUGAACUUAAGCAUAUCAAUAAGCGGAGGA
rnacentral:misc_RNA from 1 species